rnacentral:rRNA from 1 species
UACGAAGGGUGCAAGCGUUACUCGGAAUUACUGGGCGUAAAGCGUGCGCAGGCGGUUAUGCAAGACAGAUGUGAAAUCCCCGGGCUCAACCUGGGAACUGCAUUUGUGACUGCAUGGCUGGAGUGCGGCAGAGGGGGAUGGAAUUCCGCGUGUAGCAGUGAAAUGCGUAGAUAUGCGGAGGAACACUGAUGGCGAAGGCAAUCCCCUGGGCCUGCACUGACGCUCAUGCACGAAAGCGUGGGGAGCAAACAGG